UACGUAGGGGGCUAGCGUUGUCCGGAAUCAUUGGGCGUAAAGCGCGUGUAGGCGGUCCGGUAAGUCCGCUGUGAAAGUCGGGGGCUCAACCCUCGAAUGCCGGUGGAUACUGUCGGGCUAGAGUGCGGAAGAGGCGAGUGGAAUUCCUGGUGUAGCGGUGAAAUGCGCAGAUAUCAGGAGGAACACCGGUGGCGAAGGCGGGUCUCUGGGACGGUACUGACGCUGAGACGCGAAAGCGUGGGGGAGCGAACAGG
rnacentral:rRNA from 1 species